rnacentral:lncRNA from 10 species
CAGGGCGAGUCGGAAGUCCCAAAGUUUCAGUUUUUCCCAGGUGGUCUUCAGUAGAGGUCCCCCAUGAUGCAUUAGGAGGUGUUACUCUUUUGUAGAUGGCAAAACUGGAAUUCGAUAGAGGUUGAAUGACUUUGCCCCAGGUUAUAUAAGAGUUAAAACUGGGAGUGUGAUCCCAAAGUCCAGAUUCUUUCCACCACCCUCACACUGCUUCUGCAAGAAGGGAGUUUCAGUGUGGCAGUGUGAGUGGCUUGUGAGGGAAGGCUGGAGUGCUGCACAGUUACGCCCUGUGCUCUGCAGUAGUGCUCUUGAAUUUCUGUAUGGCUGAUGUAGGUCAGACCUUCAGAGAGUGUUAUGCCUACUAAUCUUAAUUAGUAUAUCCUAAUACUGAUUGUUAGAAGGCAUUUUAGAAUUUCUAGUGCAUCACAUGUUUAUGUCUAAAAAAUUAAAUCUCUUUUCUACUGGUGUUGUCCAUAACUAAUGCAUAAUUAAGCCAUAGCAGCGAGAAGUUGAGCAGAAAUGAAAGCACCAUACCUGAGCCAACAGACUCUUCCAAUGUGAGACCCAGUUUACCUCUGGUCACUUGAUAUGGUUAAAAUGUGAGCACUAGAAGCCUUUACGGAGCAUCUAGUCUGGUCACUUUAAAGACCACAGAUGAUUGGCCCAAGGUUAUCCAGCUGCUUCAUGACACUAAGAAUAUGAUCCACCUUUUUCUUGAUGAUAAUUAACCUACUAGUUUGUGUCUGUCAAUCUGCAUGAAUUGGGGUUGUUACACUUACAGGAUUUUAGUAGCAGAGAUUCAUUAUUUUAGAGAGUAGUAGAAAUCUUUUGAGAUUAAAGAGAAGAAAAAGGUUUAGGUGCAGCUCAUUUGUUGAUUGUUUUUAAUAAGACCAUUGAAAAUAUGGUAGAUUAUUAUUUUUAAACUGUGAAAGAAUACUGAUAUUGGUAAGUUUAUUCAUUUGUUGAUUUGUGAAAGUAGAAAAACAAAACUAAGAAACAUUUGAUCAUGUGUAAAAUUUAAUAUAGAGAAUACAUAUGAAGGAUUUUUAUUUCUGAAAUUCUUUUAAUUUUGCAGACUGGCUUAAAAUAUGCUCAAAGUAAAUUUAAGUAUUUGUAUAAAGAAAAAUCAAAUAUACAACAUUAAUCUUAAAUGAACAAUAGAAUAAUGCUUAACCUAGCUUUUCACCAUCAACUCGAAGGAAGUCUAAAUAUUUUAAAACAUUAAGAGAAGUACCUCCAAAAGAAUGCACAUAAUUCUUUCCUAAUGUGGGAUUAGUAAAA